ensembl:snoRNA Gm22670 predicted gene, 22670
CCUGCCCCUGGAUGUACUGCAGAUGUGGCUGCUGUGUCGCUUGGGUAUCAUCCUUAGGUGGAAGAGAGGAAAGAGGCUGUGAGGCUGCGCCUGUGCUCAGUGUUCUGACCUAUGAAAAUCUGAAUAAUUAGUAGCCUAAAAUU